rnacentral:ncRNA from 2 species
UCCUUAUCAAGAGUUAGGGUAGAGAAUUAGCUCUAUGACCCUACGCCAACCUGCCAUUAGGUAAGGUGGUUCUGCUAAUGCCGAUAAGAU